CUUUGACCAUUUUUUGUUAAACCUUGUUAACUGAUUUAUAUCUAUUAAGAUAACCCCCCUUUUUCAUAAAUUUCUGGUAUGAUAUUGAGAAGUUAUUGAACUGUAUUCUUGAAAACCGUUAGGCGUAUCAUGCGCUCUAGCUCAUGGCGCAGCUGUUUAUUAUUUUUAUGCCCCACCUACAAUAGGAGAGGGGAUUUAUGUUUUCUGGUUGUAGCAUCCGUUCGUCCGUUUGUUCGUCCGUCCUUAUGUCUG
rnacentral:lncRNA from 1 species